UCUUGUGAUGAACAAAGAAAGUGGUUUCUCGAGACAGAAUCUACUCCUGGUGAAGAUGCUGGGAU
rnacentral:pre_miRNA from 1 species